rnacentral:lncRNA from 1 species
CUUGAUUCAGUACUACCGAUAGUUGAUCUGGAGGCAUGUCGAAAGAAUAAACUGGAGUAGAUCACAAAUCAUGGCUGUGAGCAUCCCAUGCAUGUAAAUAUCUUUUUCAUUCUCUCUCUCUCUCUUUUUACAUCGGUAUAUGACCAAUCUGAACUUUCGACUUGUAGGUCACCAUCAACUUUCAGAUUAUAUAUGAAAAUAUGGUCUAUCUGCUGAAAAAUAAAGAAGUCAUUGAUGCCAAUUUGAAAAUUCUCCAAGAGGAGAAAAAGGCUGCUAAAAAAAGUC